GCUUUCCUCAGAUUGUUGUGGCAUGUACUAUCGGCAUCAAAUGAAAUGCGAACCGUGCGAAGCAUUAGCAAUGGUACAGUGCGUGCUACCCUGUCAUCACCAUGGAGAUGCACAGUGCUACCAAACGGGAGCACUGCGCACCUGUCGACGGUGAUGACUGGAUGGCGUGCACUAUACCAUUUCUAAUGCUUUCCGCUGUUCACUUUUCAUUUGACGCUGAUAGUGCAACACCUUAUUUUAUGUGCUCUUAUAUUGAUUCAUAGUAUUACUGGCAUAUCUUUAUCAAUUCUUUUUCUAUCUCUUCAGUUCUAGAAAUGCUACAAGGGACGAGUGUCCGGCAGCCUCAAGGGACACGGACUAGUGAAAGUGCCCCGCAGCUUCAAGGAAGACUGACACGCGAAAGUGCCCCGCCUCCCAAGAGAGCACAGCAGUCCCCUGCAGAUUUUGGGGCGACUGAGCGCAGAGAAGUUGAAGCUGAGCAAUUGCACCCAGCUCCCACAGCAACGUCACUGGCAGCAUGAGUAGACACAUCAACGGGAAGCCUGCACAGCCAAUCCAAGCCUUCUACAGGGCCACUGCCCACAGCUGACUCAAAGGCCACCCACGUUCCAUUCACGGAGAUUGGUGAUGGCAAGGUAAGUGAACCACUGUGUUCUCUUCAUUUCUUUUCUAAUCAGCUUGCUUUGACUUGCAGUAUCAUGUGAAAGAUGGUCUAAUCAUCGGGAGCCAUCAAGCCAAGAAAAUAUUGGGCCACAAAAAGCCUUCCCUUGUGGUAAAGGACAUGGCCCAGGCCAUUUGGGGCCGUGAAGGAUUGGCUGAACGAAGCUAUGGGGGCAAGUUAGCCCCCAAGGAUUAUAAUAAUCCCACUGCUGUAGUGCGGAAACAGCUGAGCCCAGAGGAGGUUGCUUUGAUUAUUGACACUGUGACACAUUGGGGCUCAUGCAAGGGUGUUCCUGUGAAAGAAACAGUGGAUAAUUUGUCCACAAUUCUGUCACAGAAAAUACAGGACAUCAGGCGGAACAAGAAGAAAGAAAACUAAAUGCUUGAAAAAUACCACUCUUGUAAAUUAAUAAAUUAUUAAAACUAA